ACCUGGGUGGCUCAGUUGGUUAAGCAUCUGACUUUGGCUCAGGUCAUGAUCUCACGGUUCAUGGGUUUGAGCCCCAUGUCAGGCU
rnacentral:tRNA from 1 species